rnacentral:rRNA from 1 species
GGGGAAUAUUGCACAAUGGGGGAAACCCUGAUGCAGCGACGCCGCGUGGAGGAAGAAGGUCUUCGGAUUGUAAACUCCUGUUGUUGAGGAAGAUAAUGACGGUACUCAACAAGGAAGUGACGGCUAACUACGUGCCAGCAGCCGCGGUAAAACGUAGGUCACAAGCGUUGUCCGGAAUUACUGGGUGUAAAGGGAGCGCAGGCGGGAGAACAAGUUGGAAGUGAAAUCCAUGGGCUCAACCCAUGAACUGCUUUCAAAACUGUUUUUCUUGAGUAGUGCAGAGGUAGGCGGAAUUCCCGGUGUAGCGGUGGAAUGCGUAGAUAUCGGGAGGAACACCAGUGGCGAAGGCGGCCUACUGGGCACCAACUGACGCUGAGGCUCGAAAGUGUGGGUAGCAAACAGGAUUAGAUACCCUGGUAGUCCACACCGUAAACGAUGAUUACUAGGUGUUGGAGGAUUGACCCCUUCAGUGCCGCAGUUAACACAAUAAGUAAUCCACCUGGGGAGUACGACCGCAAGGUUGAAACUCAAAGGAAUUGACGGGGGCCCGCACAAGCAGUGGAGUAUGUGGUUUAAUUCGACGCAACGCGAAGAACCUUACCAAGUCUUGACAUCCCUUGACGAUACUGGAAACAGUAUUUCUCUUCGGAGCAAGGAGACAGGUGGUGCAUGGUUGUCGUCAGCUCGUGUCGUGAGAUGUUGGGUUAAGUCCCGCAACGAGCGCAACCCUUAUGGUCAGUUACUACGCAAGAGGACUCUGGCCAGACUGCCGUUGACAAAACGGAGGAAGGUGGGGAUGACGUCAAAUCAUCAUGCCCUUUAUGACUUGGGCUACACACGUACUACAAUGGCGUUAAACAAAGAGAAGCAAGACCGCGAGGUGGAGCAAAACUCAGAAACAACGUCCCAGUUCGGACUGCAGGCUGCAACUCGCCUGCACGAAGUCGGAAUUGCUAGUAAUCGUGGAUCAGCAUGCCACGGUGAAUACGUUCCCG